CUUGGCCACACACCUGGAGAUAGAGUUCUCUGACGCAAUGUCCUUUGGAGUCCGGACUGUCGUGAAGGGGGAUCCGUAGACCCACCAAUCCUGGGGAGACACAAGGAAUGGAAGAAAUCAGAGCCACAAGAAUUCAGGGUCUCUCUGGAAGCGYACAAUCCCCUGCUUCUGGCCUGCCACAAGGACUUGGUCUCCAACUUCAGCCUUGGCCCCCUCACGCUGCUGCAGGC